rnacentral:rRNA from 1 species
UGGGUUAAGUCCCGCAACGAGCGCAACCCCUAUUNUUAGUUGCUCCGUUAAGGAGAUCUCUAAGGAGACUGCCGGUGAUAAAUCCGGAGGAAGGUGGGGAUGACGUCAAGUCAGUACGGCCCUUACGCCCUGGGCGACACACGUGNUACAAUCCCUGCUACAAAGCGUUGCCAAGCCGCGAGGUGGAGUCUAAUCUGCAAAAAAGCAGGGCCAGUUCAGAUUGAAGGCUGCAAUUCGCCUUCAUGAAGUUGGAAUNGNUAGUAAGCGCGUAUCAGCCAUGACGCGCUGAAUACGUUCCCGGGUC